GACGAACGCUGGCGGCGUGCUUAACACAUGCAAGUCGAACGGAAAGACCCUGCUUUUGUGGUCUGCUCGAGUGCCGAUCGCGUGCGUAACACGUGUGUAACCUGCUCUUCACUUUGGUAUAACUUCAGGAAACUGGGCCUACUCCCGUAUAGCAUCUCCUCCUCCAUUGUGGGCAUUGGAUCUUUUCGGCUUUUGCGGAUGGACUCGCGGCUUACCAGCUUGCUGGUGGGCUAGUUGAUUACCCAGGCUUUGACGGGUAGCCGGCCUGAGAGGGUGACUGGCGACAUUGGGACUGAGAGACGGCCCAGACUCCUACGGGAGGCAGAAGUGGGGAAGAUUGAACAAUGGGCGGAAGCCUGAUGCAGAAACGCCGCGUGCGGGAUGACGGCCUUCGGGUUGUAAACCGCUUUCGCCUGUGACGAAGCGUGAGUGAAGGUAAUGGGUAAAGAAGCACCGGCUAAAUACGUG
rnacentral:rRNA from 1 species